UUGCUAUAAUUGUCAGCUAAGUGGCGCACGGGUGAGUAAUGUAUAGAUAACCUGCCCUUAAGAAAGGAAUAACAGUUGGAAACGACUGCUAAUGCCCUAUAUGCCUUUAAUACAUAAGUAUGCAAGGGAAACGCUUUAGUGCUUGAGGAUGGGUCUGUAUGGUAUCAGCUUGUUGGUGAGGUAAUGGCUCACCAAGGCUAUGACGCCUAACUGGUUUGAGAGGAUGAUCAGUCACACUGGAACUGAGACACGGUCCAGACUCCUACGGGAGGCAGCAGUGGGGAAUAUUGCACAAUGGACGAAAGUCUGAUGCAGCAACGCCGCGUGGAGGAUGACACAUUUCGGUGCGUAAACUCCUUUUAUAUAGGAAGAUAAUGACGGUACUAUAUGAAUAAGCACCGGCUAACUCCGUGCCAGCAGCCGCGGUAAUACGGAGGGUGCAAGCGUUACUCGGAAUCACUGGGCGUAAAGAGCGUGUAGGCGGGUAUAUAAGUCAGAAGUGAAAUCCAAUAGCUCAACUAUUGAACUGCUUUUGAAACUGUAUACCUAGAAUGUGGGAGAGGUAGAUGGAAUUUCUGGUGUAGGGGUAAAAUCCGUAGAGAUCAGAAGGAAUACCGAUUGCGAAGGCGAUCUACUGGAACAUUAUUGACGCUGAGACGCGAAAGCGUGGGGAGCAAACAGGAUUAGAUACCCUGGUAGUCCACGCCCUAAACGAUGUACACUAGUUGUUGUGAGGCUCGACCUUGCAGUAAUGCAGUUAACACAUUAAGUGUACCGCCUGGGGAGUACGGUCGCAAGAUU
rnacentral:rRNA from 1 species